UCCUGGCUCAGGACGAACGCUGGCGGCGUGCCUAAUACAUGCAAGUCGAGCGAGCGGAACCAACAGAUUUACUUCGGUAAUGACGUUGGGAAAGCGAGCGGCGGAUGGGUGAGUAACACGUGGGGAACCUGCCCCUAAGUCUGGGAUACCAUUUGGAAACAGGUGCUAAUACCGGAUAAUAAAGCGGAUCGCAUGAUCAGCUUUUGAAAGGCGGCGUAAGCUGUCGCUAAGGGAUGGCCCCGCGGUGCAUUAGCUAGUUGGUAAGGUAACGGCUUACCAAGGCGACGAUGCAUAGCCGAGUUGAGAGACUGAUCGGCCACAUUGGGACUGAGACACGGCCCAAACUCCUACGGGAGGCAGCAGUAGGGAAUCUUCCACAAUGGACGCAAGUCUGAUGGAGCAACGCCGCGUGAGUGAAGAAGGUUUUCGGAUCGUAAAGCUCUGUUGUUGGUGAAGAAGGAUAGAGGUAGUAACUGGCCUUUAUUUGACGGUAAUCAACCAGAAAGUCACGGCUAACUACGUGCCAGCAGC
rnacentral:rRNA from 1 species